rnacentral:rRNA from 1 species
UGGGGAAUAUUGCACAAUGGGCGCAAGCCUGAUGCAGCCAUGCCGCGUGUAUGAAGAAGGCCUUCGGGUUGUAAAGUACUUUCAGUCGGGAGGAAGGCGUUAAGGUUAAUAACCUUGUCGAUUGACGUUACCCGCAGAAGAAGCACCGGCUAACUCCGUGCCAGCAGCCGCGGUAAUACGGAGGGUGCAAGCGUUAAUCGGAAUUACUGGGCGUAAAGCGCACGCAGGCGGUCUGUCAAGUCGGAUGUGAAAUCCCCGGGCUCAACCUGGGAACUGCAUUCGAAACUGGCAGGCUAGAGUCUUGUAGAGGGGGGUAGAAUUCCAGGUGUAGCGGUGAAAUGCGUAGAGAUCUGGAGGAAUACCGGUGGCGAAGGCGGCCCCCUGGACAAAGACUGACGCUCAGGUGCGAAAGCGUGGGGAGCAAACAGG